rnacentral:rRNA from 1 species
AUUGAACGCUGGCGGCGGGCUUAACACAUGCAAGUCGAGCGGUAACAGAGAGAAGCUUGCUUCUCUGCUGACGAGCGGCGGACGGGUGAGUAAUGCCUAGGAAUCUGCCUAGUAGUGGGGGAUAACUUGCCGAAAGGUAAGCUAAUACCGCAUACGUCCUAUGGGAGAAAGGAGGGGACCUUCGGGCCUUUCGCUAUUAGAUGAGCCUAGGUCGGAUUAGUUAGUUGGUGAGGUAAUGGCUCACCAAGACCGCGAUCCGUAACUGGUCUGAGAGGAUGAUCAGUCACACUGGAACUGAGACACGGUCCAGACUCCUACGGGAGGCAGCAGUGGGGAAUAUUGGACAAUGGGGGGAACCCUGAUCCAGCCAUGCCGCGUGUGUGAAGAAGGUCUUAGGAUUGUAAGCACUUUAAGUUGGGAGGAAGAGCAGUUAACUAAUAUUUGACUGUUUUGACGUUACCGACAGAAUAAGCACCGGCUAACUUCGUGCCAGCCGCCGCAGUAA